rnacentral:rRNA from 1 species
CCUACGGGAGGCAGUAGUGAGGAAUAUUGGUCAAUGGACGAGAGUCUGAACCAGCCAAGUAGCGUGAAGGAUGACUGCCCUAUGGGUUGUAAACUUCUUUUAUAUGGGAAUAAAACGUUCCACGUGUGGGAUUUUGUAUGUACCAUAUGAAUAAGGAUCGGCUAACUCCGUGCCAGCAGCCGCGGUAAUACGGAGGAUCCGAGCGUUAUCCGGAUUUAUUGGGUUUAAAGGGAGCGUAGGUGGAUUGUUAAGUCAGUUGUGAAAGUUUGCGGCUCAACCGUAAAAUUGCAGUUGAAACUGGCAGUCUUGAGUACAGUAGAGGUGGGCGGAAUUCGUGGUGUAGCGGUGAAAUGCUUAGAUAUCACGAAGAACUCCGAUUGCGAAGGCAGUUCACUGGACUGCAACUGACACUGAGGCUCGAAAGUGUGGGUAUCAAACAGGAUUAGAUACCCUAGUAGUC